rnacentral:rRNA from 1 species
UACGGGGGGAGCAAGCGUUGUUCGGAUUUACUGGGCGUAAAGGGCGCGUAGGCGGCCACCGCAAGUCGACUGUGAAAUCUCCGGGCUUAACCCGGAAAGGUCAGCCGAUACUGCGGGGCUAGAGUGCAGAAGGGGCAACUGGAAUUCUCGGUGUAGCGGUGAAAUGCGUAGAUAUCAGGAGGAACACCGAUGGCGAAGGCAGGUCUCUGGGCCACUACUGACGCUGAGAAGCGAAAGCAUGGGGAGCGAACAGG